CCCAGGAAUCGGUGUGAUCUGUGGUUGUAAGCCUCGCGUACACAGAGACAGACACAAAUAUGGAAGUGUGUGUGUGCCGGGGUUAGGGUACAGACGUGUGGGCUCUCACUGUUUGCUCGGGCACACAGACACCCCAUUUGCACGGGCACCCCCUCCCAGCACCCAGAUCUUGGGUUUCAAGCACCGUUUUCCAGUAUAGGAAAGCAGGGACCCUUGGAGAGCUGGCUGGCCCGGGACCGGGGCAGGGAGAGCACGAGCCAGAAGGGAAGGGUGCUGGGAAGAGACGGGCGCUAGUUGAGAGCGCCCAGGAGCCGCCCAGAAGGAGCUGGGGCGCUUCGAAGAUGGUGCACUGAGGGAGAAUCGGGUUGCAAGCCAAGCGUCAAGGAAGCAUCUGCGAAUCCCUGCCCAUGUAAAGCCCUCAGAUGCAGAAACUCCGGGUACAAAAAGGGCAGCUGUUCCCGAUGGAAGAGCCCCAGAUAAAUGCACAGGGACCGCAGAGACCCCAGACCACCCCGGGCUGCCACAGUGAGCAUGGCUGCCGGCGGCUGAUGGGCGCCGAGGGCAGAAGUGUGAGGAGCGACAGGGUGUCCGUUGAGUACGGGGAAAACCCCGCGGACACCGCCCCAGCCCGUGACCGAGGUCAGCCUCCCCAGUGUGACGCAGACCCCGUGUACCACAUCUUUAUUUUUUAAGACUAUUUAUUGAAGUAAUCCCCACAUCCAACAUGGAGCUCGAACUCACGACCCUGAGAUCAAGAGUCGCACGCACCACCCACUGGGCCAGCCACGCGCCCGAGGGGAACACUUUUUUAAAGACGUGACGCCAUCUGAUGAGGACGGACAGCGUUCCCCUCCCCCCGAGGCGUUCCUGGGCUCCUGACGGUGCCUCCCCCGAACCGCACUUGGACCAGGGGCCCACACCCUGGGGUUCCUUCCUCGGAAUUUUCCAAGUCCUUCCGUCACUUGGGAAUUGGUGUGUGCGAGUGCGCCUGCGCCCAGCCUCUGCCGGCACUUCUGGGAUCCAACGCCGUCCUGCCUCGUGAACAGCACCUAAAUGUGGUGGCGUGGGGGCUGUCCUCUGACCCACGGCCGUCUCCAGGACUGUUACCCCAUCUCCUGCGCAGACUCCAUGUGCUUGUCAGGUGUUCGUGGGGGUGGCCGCACCCAUCUCCACCCAGGGCUCUGAGACACUUGCUCUCACGCCAGUGACCUUUGUCCUUUCCAGCCUCUGAUCAGGUGCUGCUGUCACACCCUGUGGGAAAAGAGACGGACCCCCCAUAUUCCAGUGGGACGUCCCUUCUCGCUCCACGCCCUGUCCCGUCCCCUUUGCUGUCCCCCGUCCUGGCCCCUGACUGGCAACGUGGAGGGCACCGGUGUGGGCAGCAUUGAGAGUCCUGGCAUCGCAGUGAUCAGCUGCGGAGCCAGGAGCAGACGCGGCUGGAGGUCACUUCCUGCAGAAGAUUCUCAGCAAGAGAGAGAGAGAGAGAGAGACAGCAUGAACAGAGGAGG